UACGUAGGUGGCAAGCGUUGUCCGGAUUUAUUGGGUUUAAAGGGUGCGUAGGCGGGUCUAUAAGUCAGUGGUGAAAUACGGCAGCUCAACUGUCGAGGUGCCAUUGAUACUGCAGAACUUGAGUACAGACGAGGUAGGCGGAAUUGACGGUGUAGCGGUGAAAUGCUUAGAUAUCGUCAAGAACACCGAUAGCGAAGGCAGCUUACUAGACUGUAACUGACGCUGAGGCACGAAAGUGUGGGGAUCAAACAGG
rnacentral:rRNA from 1 species